rnacentral:rRNA from 1 species
GACGAACGCUGGCGGCGUGCUUAACACAUGCAAGUCGAACGGAGAGGCCCUGCUUUUGUGGGGUGCUCGAGUGGCGAACGGGUGAGUAACACGUGAGUAACCUGCCCUUGACUUUGGGAUAACUUCAGGAAACUGGGGCUAAUACCGGAUAGGAGCUCCUGCUGCAUGGUGGGGGUUGGAAAGUUUCGGCGGUUGGGGAUGGACUCGCGGCUUAUCAGCUUGUUGGUGGGGUAGUGGCUUACCAAGGCUUUGACGGGUAGCCGGCCUGAGAGGGUGACCGGCCACAUUGGGACUGAGAUACGGCCCAGACUCCUACGGGAGGCAGCAGUGGGGAAUAUUGCACAAUGGGCGGAAGCCUGAUGCAGCAACGCCGCGUGCGGGAUGACGGCCUUCGGGCUGUAAACCGCUUUCGCCUGUGACGAAGCGUGAGUGACGGUAAUGGGUAAAGAAGCACCGGCUAACUACGUG